GGCUAUGAGGAAGCCCUUUCCUGUUCUUUGACUACCACUUGCCACAUCUCCGCUGAAAAGACCACAAUUCGGCAUAGACAGUAGUCAAGGAAUUACUUCUGAUCUGGAAACCAAGAGCAGAGCUUGGAGGGAUGUACUGUGCAAAACUCAAGACACAGGUACUAAUUUCUAUUUGACUGAAAUGGACUCAAAACAAAAUAUCUCAUCUGAAGAUGGCUCUCUUCCUCCCUAUGAGCAACAUGAAGACCCCUUUGAAUCAAAACUCUCAAAAGAAGCUGACAUAGUUGCUGGAAUUUAUUUAUUAAUAAUUGGGAUCAUGUCCACUUUAGGCAAUGGAUAUGUCCUUUAUAUGUCUACACAACGGAAAAAGAAGCUGAGGCCUGCUGAAAUAAUGACUGUCAAUCUAGCAGUGUGUGACCUGGGUA